AAUGCAGGAAAGGCAGCUCGUCCUUGGGCCUGGACCCUCGCAGACAGGGAGUCAGCUGGGAUGAAUCAGAUUCAAAUAAGAAGCAGAAAGGCGGGGACGAGAAGAAAGCGGCAGACCGACGCUUCUCUCCACUCAGCCGCCGGCUGCUGAGGUCCGAGCCCUCUGUUCCCGUAUUACCAACCAUUCCUGAGUGCACCGAUGCCGUCGCCUUCCUCCUGCUGAGUGAUGAUGAGGAGAACCAAGGAGGAAAGUCUGAGUGCAGACGUCAUCAGUAAACCCCCUCGGUGUGUAUGACUCCUCCACGGCUCUGUGGCUGCAGGGGAAGGGACAGCAGAAUCAGGACGUCCAGGCGGGGCAGAGGGCUGCGCUUUUGGCCGGGAGGACCCAAGAGUUUAACAGGCGGAUCAGAGAGCAGCCAGCAGACACGCAGC